GAUGAACGCUGGCGGCGUGCCUAAUACAUGCAAGUCGAGCGAACAGACGAGGAGCUUGCUCCUCUGACGUUAGCGGCGGACGGGUGAGUAACACGUGGAUAACCUACCUAUAAGACUGGGAUAACUUCGGGAAACCGGAGCUAAUACCGGAUAAUAUAUUGAACCGCAUGGUUCAAUAGUGAAAGACGGUUUUGCUGUCACUUAUAGAUGGAUCCGCGCCGCAUUAGCUAGUUGGUAAGGUAACGGCUUACCAAGGCAACGAUGCGUAGCCGACCUGAGAGGGGGAACCGCCAACCUGGAACUGAGACACGGUCCAGACUCCUACGGGAGGCAGGAGGUGGGAAUCUUCCGGAAAGGGCGAAAGCCUGACGGAGCAACGCCGCGUGAGUGAUGAAGGUCUUCGGAUCGUAAAACUCCGUUAUUAGGGAAGAACAAAUGUGUAAGUAACUAUGCACGUCUUGACGGUACCUAAUCAGAAAGCCACGGCUAACUACGUG
rnacentral:rRNA from 1 species